rnacentral:rRNA from 1 species
GCUCAUAAUGAACGUUGGCGGUGUGGAUUAGGCAUGCAAGUCGAGCGCGAAUCGUAGCAAUACGAGGAGAGCGGCGAAAGGGAGAGUAAUACGCAGGUACGUGCCUCCGGGUCUGGGAUAGCGGCGGGAAAUUGCCGGUAAUACCAGAUAACGUCUCCGGACCAAAGGUGUGACUCCACCUGGAGAGCGGCCUGCGGGCUAUUAGCUAGUUGGCAGGGUAACGGCCUACCAAGGCAAAGAUGGCUAUGGGGCGUGAGAGCGUGCCCCCACUCACUGGGACUGAGAACUGCCCAGACACCUACGGGUGGCUGCAGUCGAGAAUCUUCGGCAAUGGGCGAAAGCCUGACCGAGCGACACCGCGUGCGGGAUGAAGGCCUUCGGGUUGUAAACCGCUGUCGUAGGGGAGGAAGGGCCUGUGAAGAACAGGACUUGACCGAUCCUAGGAGGAAGGGCCGGCUAAUCUCGUGCCAGCAGCCGCGGUAAUACGAGAGGCCCAAACGUUAUUCGGAUUUACUGGGCUUAAAGAGUUCGUAGGCGGCGCGGAAAGUGGGGUGUGAAAGCCCUCGGCUCAACCGAGGAACUGCAUUCCAAACUACCGCGCUCGAGGGAGAUAGAGGUGAGCAGAACUGAUGGUGGAGCGGUGAAAUGCGUUGAUAUCAUCAGGAAUACCGGAGGCGAAGGCGGCUCACUGGGUCUCUUCUGACGCUGAGGAGCGAAAGCUAGGGGAGCAAACGGGAUUAGAUACCCCGGUAGUCCUAGCCGUAAACGGUGAGCACUGGACCGGAGGGCUGCACAGCCUUUCGGUCGUAGCGAAAGUGUUAAGUGCUCCGCCUGGGG